rnacentral:rRNA from 1 species
ACUGCCGGUAAUAAACCGGAGGAAGGUGGGGAUGACGUCAAAUCAUCAUGCCCCUUAUGACCUGGGCUACACACGUGCUACAAUGGUUGGUACAACGAGUUGCGAGUCGGUGACGGCGAGCUAAUCUCUUAAAGCCAAUCUCAGUUCGGAUUGUAGGCUGCAACUCGCCUACAUGAAGUCGGAAUCGCUAGUAAUCGCGGAUCAGCACGCCGCGGUCGAAUACGUUCCGGGCCUU